rnacentral:pre_miRNA from 1 species
AGUGAGAUUACUGGGUCAUAUGGUAAGAGUAUGUUUAGUUUUGGAAGAAAUUUGCCAAACUCUCUUCCAAACUGUCUGUACCAUUUUGCAUUCCCACCAGGAAU